UAAUGUCUCGUCACGACGGUUAACGGUUUUUGAUGUAAUAUUUUUAAAUUAAAAAAAAAACAAAAAAUCCCCAACAUGGUUCGCUCAUUCGUAUUCUUGAUCCCGCUCAUUCGUGUAGUUCCAUUUACAUUACUCCAUAGCUAGCUCUUGCAUUUCAACGUGAAUUUGGAAGCUCCAUUACCUACCUUGCUUCAUCAAUCUCGAUCUCAUUUCACUUCUGUUCAAUCAAUCUCCAUACCUCUCGAUCGAUCGAUCCUCCUCACUGACCGCGUUUUCCGGAGAUUCUGCUACUGUCCAAAGGUUCUGUUGAAAUAGGUGCGGUGUAGACGUGUAGUUGGUGGCUUUUCCAUCGUCAUUUUUCAAUUUGCUCUUUCGACGCCAAAAAUGCCAAGGGGUAGACCAAAAAUUACCGUUAAAGCAACCGAACCGGUACUUGAACCCAAGGAACCUCACUUCAUGGACCACGAAAUCAAAGCGUUGGAGCAACAAAUCGGUGCGAUUAGGGAAGUUAACGAGGUGAAAACCGAAUACUUGUUGACAGACUUGCGGUUUCUUCGCUCAUGUUUCAGAGAGGAACAGCUGCAGAAACCCGUUUUAGAGAUUUUUGAAGAAACUCUUCCAAAUCUGUCCAUUGUGAAUGAUAAAGGGAGUGCCAAAUUUGAAGUGAUAUGGAAAGAUAAAGAGUCUAUGAAUAUGAACAUGAACGGUGGUGAUGUAAAUGCUUCAUUGCUGCAAAGGUUGUCCAUGGCUUACCCUCACUACUCUUCAAUUCCUCCUUUUGCUGGUGCCUUUGAAUAUUCUUCCAAUGCAAUAGGGGGAACAAGCUUUAUCGGUGCUGAUAAUCCGUAUUUGAAGGACUUCGUGACUAGUCACAGGUUGUCUGUUGGGAUGAUGCCCAAAACACUUAGGGUUCCCAAGCCUGGCGAGAUGCUUCUCUCUGUCCAUGGAUCACCCUUAGGUGUUUACAAGGACAAUAACAUGGAAGCCGUACAUGGUAUGAUUAAAAAAAUGCUUGGGAUGAAAAUUGAAUCUAUUUCAUUCUUUAUCAUGUUAAUGAACAAGGGAUAGUUCUUGUCUACCGUAAUGCUUUACUUUUGACAUGCUUUUCUGUUCUUCAACACCAGUUGAAGCACUACCAGUUUUUCUGGUUCUAGAUGGUAUCUAUUCUGCUUCAACACAACACUACAAGUUUUUCUAGUUCUAGUAUGGUAUCUAUUCUGACAUGCAGAGUCGGAGGAGGGUUGAAUUCUGGUUAAAUCUCUUGCAGUUCAAGAUCAAGUUUUUCAUGUAUCUAUGCGCACCAACCAUUAAAAUUUCGAUAGUGACUCUAGAUGAGAUUUGGGUCAAAAUUUGAAAGAAAGACCUUAAAAGAAAAAGAUGAUUGGUUUGGCUGAGCUCCUUGAGGGAUUGUAUAACCUGACCAUACAAGAUGCACCAGUCACCAUAGCCACAUCUCAAGCUACUUCAUCCACCUUCAUUCCUAAGGAAACCCUUUGGCAUGUUAGCCUAGGACACUUAUCCAAUACUAGAUUGUUAGAUUUGCAUAAGAAUUUCCCUUUUGUAAAUGUUGAUCAUGAUUCUGUCAGUGAUAUUUCUCACAUACAAGACAUAGAAAAUCGAAAUUUCCUCUCAGUUCAAAUAAAGCUAGUAACAUACUAUGAUUUGUUUCA